rnacentral:misc_RNA from 1 species
AACAAGGCGUACCUGCGGACCUGCGGAGGGAUCAUUACCGAGUGUGAACCCCCCCGUAAAAAAGAGGGGUUACCUCCCGUCCUUUGCUGGGAACCCCUUUCCAACUCGGAAGGAGGUUGUUUUCAGACCCUUCUGCUUCGGUGGGGUAACCCACCGGAACAACCUCAAAAAUAUUCUCAAUUCAAAACCGUUCAGUCCGAGAACUUUUUUGAAAAGCGAAAAAACUUUCAACAACGGAUC